rnacentral:lncRNA from 1 species
ACGGGAACCUGCCCUGCUGCACCCGGAGGCGCUGCAAAUGCCUGAGGAGACAGGGCGAGGGGAGUGGAGCGGUUGCCUGGAGAAAUCAAGACGGAGCAAGGGCUGAGGAAGACCACGGGCAGCGGGGAAGGUCGAGCAACAGGGAGCGUGCGGCUGUGCUGCAGCCUGCCCCGGGCGGGGGACAAGCACCGGCCCUUCCCAAUGCAUCUCCCUCAUCCAGGCCUGUCAUUAGCCCCGGAGGAGAGGGGAGAUGCUGCCCCCUGCCCCACAGCUGACCUUGGUGUG